GUCACAGUGGCCGAGUGGUUAAGGCGACACCCUGCUAAUUUAUUUGGUGGUUAAGGUGUUGCGCAUUGCGUGCGCAGGUUCGAAUCCUGUCUGUGACG
rfam:Candida tenuis ATCC 10573 unplaced genomic scaffold CANTEscaffold_00018, whole genome shotgun sequence.